rnacentral:rRNA from 1 species
AUUGAACGCUGGCGGAAUGCUUUACACAUGCAAGUCGAGCGGCAGCACGGGGGCAACCCUGGUGGCGAGCGGCGAACGGGUGAGUAAUACAUCGGAACGUGCCCGGUCGUGGGGGAUAACACUUCGAAAGAAGUGCUAAUACCGCAUACGACCUGAGGGGGAAAGCGGGGGAUCGCCAGACCUCGCGCGAUUGGAGUGGCCGAUGUCAGAUUAGCUAGUUGGUGGGGUAAAGGCCUACCAAGGCAACGAUCUGUAGCUGGUCUGAGAGGAUGAUCAGCCACACUGGGACUGAGACACGGCCCAGACUCCUACGGGAGGCAGCAGUGGGGAAUUUUGGACAAUGGGGGCAAGCCUGAUCCAGCCAUUCCGCGUGAGUGAAGAAGGCCUUCGGGUUGUAAACUUCUUUUGUCAGGAACGAAAAGGUUCUCGCUAAUACAGCGGGCUAAUGACGGUACCGUAAGAAGAAGCACCGGCUAACUACGUG